rnacentral:rRNA from 1 species
CCUACGGGAGGCUGCAGUGAGGAAUAUUGGUCAAUGGGCGCGAGCCUGAACCAGCCAAGUAGCGUGAAGGAUGACUGCCCUACGGGCUGUAAACUUCUUUUUUAAAGGAAUAAAACGAGGCACGUGUGCCUUUUUGCAUGUACUUUAUGAAUAAGGAUCGGCUACCUCCGUGCCCGCACCCGCGGUAAUACGGAGGAUCCGAGCGUUAUCCGGAUUUAUUUGGUUUAAAGGGAGCGUAGAUGGGUUGUUAAGUCAGGUGUGAAAGUUUGCGGCUCAACCGUAAAAUUGCAAUUGAUACUGGCAGUCUUGAGUACAGUUGAGGUAGGCGGAAUUCGUGGUGUAGCGGUGAAAUGCUUAGAUAUCACGAAGAACCCCGAUUGCGAAGGCAGCUUACUAAACUGUGACUGACAUUGAUGCUCGAAAGUGUGGGUAGCAAACAGGAUUAGAUACCCGAGUAGUC